GGCUGUAUGGUCAAGUGGUGAAGAUUCCUGCUUUGGGUCAAAGCAUGAAUGCAGGAGAUCCUGGGGUACGCGAAUCCAUUGUCUAAACUGAGGAGAAGGCUAACUGGUGUACUCAGUUCGAAUCCCAGUGCAGCCC